UUGGUCUAAAUUUUGACUCACCUUGCACAACAGUAUUGUUGUAUAUGUUGUAUGAGAGUAAGUUGCAAAAUAACAUACAACGCAUUUUUUUGUUUACGUUGUGCAAGUUUGGAAGAAAAUCAGAUGCACUCCAAAAUGAGAGUGAUUAGCCCCAAAAAGACCAAUUUUUGGGUGAAAUGCUGGUACAUGAAUGUAAGCUCCUACAACAGAAUGACCUAUUUUUGUUGUGUGAAUGCGAGAUGGCAAUCCUAGGCGGGAGAAGUGCGUUUGUAUGUGAUUCGCACUAGGCGGGAGAUUUGCUUGUUAGGUCGUCCCUAAGUUUCAAGUAUAGACCAUCAGACAACCAAAAUUCAUUUAUGUGUUGUCUGACUUGAUUAUACAAACCAAAAUUCAUUUAUGUCUCCCACUUAGCUAGUCUUUGCGAAAAGCCGUAAAACCCAUGUUCUUCUAGCUUCUGAAAGCGGAACCCAUCUUCUUAUCUUAAAAGAAUCAAACCCAUGUUCUUCUUGAAACCCAUCUUCUUCAGCAAAAGAAACUUCCACACUUCCUCUCUCUCUGAUUUCACUCCCCUCUCUGCGGUUCUUUGAGUCGCAAACCCUAACCCCUCUUUUCUUCGAUUUCCAAUUUUCAAAUUUGAAGAGGCGUGUAAUUCUCCUCUCUUUGCUAUCUCGACUUGAGAUUAGGGUUCUUCAUACUGAAAAAAUUAGGAGGUUCUUCGAUCUGCUGAUUCUGCAUACUGGGAAGAAGAAGCUCAUCAAAGGAAUGUGAAGGCUGGGUCUUCGAAACCUCUAAUAGAUCUCACGAGUUAGUCGCUGGUGCAUCCAAGACGGUGGCGCUCAAGCAAGAAGAUUCGAUAAGAGCGGGGAACGAAACUUUCACACUCCGAAAAAAAAAUUAGACCCGACCCCGAGAGCGCUUUAACCCUAAUUUUCAUUCUUAACCCAUCGACCUCCUCCUCCCCAAACUCGCUCCUCCUCCUCUUCACCAUCACAAUCCUUCCUCCUCCAUUCUCCGGCGGAAUCUGAAGCUCCGAGAGAGCCGAAGAAACCUAGACCCCAACAAAGUUGAAGAAAUUGAUGAAGCUCUAAAUCCUUUCGACAACAAACUCGAGCUCCCUCUCCACCUUUCGCCGCCUCCGACGGAGAUCAACCAGCUUAUGUUCUCUGCUUCCAGCUUUGUCGGUUAACCUAACACAACCACGAUGAUGACGGCUCAGUUGCACCCUGAAUCGACGUUGCCGGCUCCGAAAUUUCCUAACUUUCGAUUCCGAUUCACACUAGUCGAGACUAGGAAGAAGAAGCGGUAAUGAUGAGUUCGGCGGUGCUGAAGGAGAGAAGAAGGCCAAAUGCUCUGACUGUGUCCCUUAAUUCGAAGAUUUACAGAGUCAGCGAUAGGCUCUUCCUCUGCCUCUCCGGCCUCACCACCGAUGCUCAGACUCUGUUUCAGAGGCUUAUGUAUAAACACAAGCUUUACCAGCAGAGGGAAGAGAGGCAUUUUUGAUGGGUGUUCUGUAUAUGCUUGAGCAAUGUGAUUUAGGUCACCUGAUGGAAAAGAUUGAAUGCUGACCGAACUCGGAAUCAAAGAUGGGGCACAACUGAAGCGCCAUUUGAUCCCCAAAUCUAGAGUGAAAUCUAAGAGAAGCAAAACAAAAAGCGAAAGCAAAACCAGAGAGAGGAGAGAAAAUACUUUGGGGAAAUCUAUCAGCAUUGGAAUCAAGUCUUUAGGGAGCCAGGAUGGGCACUGAUGGUGGAUAUUGGAAGGCACCAGCAGCAACAUUUACACCACAGGCUUCAAAAUUGUUGACUUAGGACUGCAUGGCAUGUGUUGAUCUUCUUGAAGUCAUGCUGGUGGAACAUUUGCAGAGUGGUGGCAGAAGUAGAAGAAAGAAGAGAGGAGCAGCAGGAGCAGGCAUAUUACAUCAAUGGUGGCAGAAGUAGAAGAAAGAAAAGAGGGGCAGCAGGAGCAAGCAUUAGUAGCGGGCGAAGUGGGCAAGCAAUCAUAAAUAGUCCAAUAAUCACUGUAUCCAUUUCUAGCACACUUAUUUUUUUGUCUCUGAUGCAAUGUAAGACAAUAAAUUGUCACUGAUUCAUGACUUUGUGGAACAAUGACUAAUACGAAUGUAUAUAUCUUGGUGGAUCCAAUGUAUUUUGAAGUUUAAAGUAUGGGUUAAA